rnacentral:snoRNA from 1 species
UGGACCAGUGAUGAUGACUGGUGGCAGAUGAGUCAUGGAUGUUGAAUACAUGUCUGGAACUCUGGGGUCCAA